AUGGACUGGACUUGGAGGAUCCUAUUUUUGGUGGUCAUAGCUGCAGGUGCCCACUCCCAGGUCCAGCUGGUGCAGCCUGGGGCUGAGGUGAAGCAGCCUGGGGCAUCAGUGAAGAUCUCCUGCAAGGCUUCUGGAUACACCUUCACUAGCCACUAUAUGCACUAGGUGCACCAGGCCCAUGCACAAGGGCUUGAGUGGAUGGGACACAUCGACCCUAGUAAUGGCAACACAAACUACGCACAGAAGUUCCAGGGCAGAGUCACCAUGACCAGGGACACGUCCACAAGCACAGCCUACAUGGAGCCAAGCAGCCUGAGAUCUGAGGACACGGCCGUGUAUUACUGUGCAAGAGACACAGUGUGAA